rnacentral:rRNA from 1 species
UACGUAGGUGGCAAGCGUUAUCCGGAUUUAUUGGGCGUAAAGGGAACGCAGGCGGUCUUUUGAGUCUGAUGUGAAAGCCUUCGGCUUAACCGGAGUAGUGCAUUGGAAACUGGGAGACUUGAGUGCAGAAGAGGAGAGUGGAACUCCAUGUGUAGCGGUGAAAUGCGUAGAUAUAUGGAAGAACACCAGUGGCGAAAGCGGCUCUCUGGUCUGUAACUGACGCUGAGGUUCGAAAGCGUGGGUAGCAAACAGG